rfam:Dipodomys ordii contig_20303, whole genome shotgun sequence.
GGUGGCUCAGUGGUAGAGUGUUUGCCUUGCAUGCAUAAACCCCUGGGUUCGAUUCCUCAGCACCA